UUUUGGAAGCACCAGAAAAAUACAAAACCUAAACCUAAACCCAUUUUUUCAAGAGAAACAGCCGCCACCCCCCGGGUCCAAAGGGAAAAAAACCAAUACUCUCUCUUUGCCAAAGAACCGAACCCGCUCCCUUUCAAAACUAGCCGGCCCUCAAAAAUCCAUCGGAGCCUCAUCUCCUUCUCUUCUCCCAGGCCGCUGCUCCCUUAGAAGAAGAAAAACCAAAGUUUUCCCUUCCCCUUUCCCCCUUGGUUUUGGCAAAGUGAAAUCGGAGAGAAACCCACGAAACCGGCCGGCCGGACACUCUCUCCCUCACUGCAAACUCUCAGCCUUUCCCUUUGCAGCCUCUCCAGCCGCCUCUCACUGGGAAAAGAAACCAGCCGCCCCUCCCAUCUCCUAUUGGUCUCUCCAUCUUCUUGGCAGAGGAAAGAACCAACCGGACCGGCCUCCACCCGAAACCCUUCAGCAACCGGCUCGCCUCUGACUCAAACUCGUGUAGCAGAUCUCGACCGAGAUCCAGCUGCAAUGACACCGUCCGAAGAUCCAGCAACCAGCAGAGCCACCCCCCCUGCGCCUCUGUCAACCGACUACAGAUGCCCUGAACUCAGAGCCAUCGACCGCCUGUAAAGGAGGAGAUCUGCAGUGGAAACAGAUCUGAAUGGAAGGUAGAAGGGAGCCGAUUUGAAAACCAAAUUAAAACAGAUUUGCUUGUUGUGGUUUUUGGGUGAUUUGCAGGUAACGGCGCUGCUCAUAGCCGACUGGAGGAUGAAGAGG
rnacentral:lncRNA from 1 species